AGUGAACGCUGGCGGUAGGCCUAACACAUGCAAGUCGAACGGCAGCACAGUAAGAGCUUGCUCUUACGGGUGGCGAGUGGCGGACGGGUGAGGAAUACAUCGGAAUCUACUUUUUCGUGGGGGAUAACGUAGGGAAACUUACGCUAAUACCGCAUACGACCUACGGGUGAAAGCAGGGGAUCUUCGGACCUUGCGCGAUUGAAUGAGCCGAUGUCGGAUUAGCUAGUUGGCGGGGUAAAGGCCCACCAAGGCGACGAUCCGUAGCUGGUCUGAGAGGAUGAUCAGCCACACUGGAACUGAGACACGGUCCAGACUCCUACGGGAGGCAGCAGUGGGGAAUAUUGGACAAUGGGCUCAAGCCUGAUCCAGCCAUACCGCGUGGGUGAAGAAGGCCUUCGGGUUGUAAAGCCCUUUUGUUGGGAAAGAAAAGCAGCAGGUUAAUACCCCGCUGUUCUGACGGUACCCAAAGAAUAAGCACCGGCUAGCUUCGUG
rnacentral:rRNA from 1 species